GUGAGGAAUAUUGGUCAAUGGGCGGAAGCCUGAACCAGCCAAGUAGCGUGCAGGAUGACGGCCCUAUGGGUUGUAAACUGCUUUUAUACGGGGAUAAAGUCAGCCACGUGUGGUUGAUUGCAGGUACCGUAUGAAUAAGGACCGGCUAAUUCCGUGCCAGCAGCCGCGGUAAUACGGAAGGUCCGGGCGUUAUCCGGAUUUAUUGGGUUUAAAGGGAGCGCAGGCCGGAAGCAAAGCGUGCCGUGAAAUGUAGAUGCUCAACAUCUGAAUUGCGGCGCGAACUGGUUUUCUUGAGUGCAUACGAGGUAGGCGGAAUUUGUGGUGUAGCGGUGAAAUGCUUAGAUAUCACGAAGAACUCCGAUUGCGAAGGCAGCCUACCAGGAUGUAACUGACGCUAAAGCUCGAAAGUGCGGGUAUCGAACAGGAUUAGAUACCCCUGUAGUCC
rnacentral:rRNA from 1 species